CGGCGAGCGAAGAGAGCAGAAAAAAAAAAAGUCUCUCUCCUUAAGAAAAAAAAAAAAAUCUCUGAUGGAAGCCCUCUUCUACCAGCGCUAUCAAAACUUGAACUGCAAGCGGGCUUCCGUUCGUCCUUCUCCUCCGCCUUCCUCCGCUCCGAGCCUCCGGAGGGUGUCUGGGUUUCAAUCCGAAUCUUGCUGUGUGUGCUCUGCUCCCGCGCCUCUCUUCCUUGUCCUAAAACGUCGAGUGCUGGGGGAUAGAGCCGAGUUAUAAAAAGAAGGUGUCGGAAACUGUAACGUCGCAGCGCCGCAACGGUACUACUGCCUGUCCUGUGAAUAUGUCAACAUGAUCAGAGGGAGGGCGGGGAGCCACUGGGGAGCGCGCGCACCGAGUCGCCUCUAGGUGGCUUAUCGAGAGAUCGCCGCAGCCCCGGAGCUCGCUCUCUUGCUCGCUCGCUCUGGCUCAGUCCAUGUCUGAAAUGCCUCAGUCAUCCAGCCCGGGAUCGAGGGAGGAGGCUGGGCAGGAGGGAGCACGCGGGAGGGAGGCGGGCGCUAGCGAGCCUGGCCAGGAAGGCGGAGAGCGCGCCGGGCGCCGGGCAGGGGCGCUCGCCUCUCGCGCGCUCGGCUCGCUUCUCGGGCCGCCGCGGCCGUUUCUCUCUCCCGUUCACCCUUUUAACCCGGUUCCAGGCGAGCCGAGCGGACGGCCCCGGCUCCCGUGAGCUGCCAUCCGGCCGCCGGGCGCGACAAAAGCCGGGCGCCGCGGAGAGGCGAACGCCGCCGAGUCUCCAGGCUUGUGCGCUCUCUCCGGCCCCACGUGGAGCCAAGCUCUUCCCGGCCGCCGCUCAAGGGCUCCCGAGCUCGGGUGUUUCUCGUUGCCGGUCUGCCCGGGCAGCAGGGCUCGCGCGCGGGCUCCCGAGCACGCGGUGCUGCCAGAUCUCAGCCCACGCGAGGGGGCUCUCUCCCCACCGCGCCCCACCCGAAACUAUGCGCGGAGACCCAAACACCCCCAGCACAUUUGUACGCGAACACGCGGCAGUCCACUAGGGCUCAGCCGCGGAAGCCAUAUACACGCAAACACUGACCCAGCCUGCGCGGCAGCCGCGGGUCUGCGCUCAGCUCACUCCGGAGGCGGAUUCGGGCUUUUUUCAAAUGGAUUUACCAGCCCUUUUAGAUAGAUCUCGUCUUCCAUUUGGACUCUGGCUCCCGGUUUUCAACCUGAAUGUGUGUGUGAGACCAGAGAGGGUAUCUGAACAAAGUGAGCACAACGAGGGACUAGGUUCUGGGCCUGUCCUCGUCUAGCCGCCGCCCGCCCCUCGGCGGUCAGCAGGGUGAGGAGCUGCUGGAAUGGGGUGGGCGAGCUAGUGGGCGGAGGUGCUCCAGGCCCGUAUCUUCUCCAGGCAUCGCAAUUAUCUCUUGGUGCCUCAGUUCUUUUCUCCACCCGGAGACUUAUCUCGCCAGAAGUCGGGGGUGAAUUUGUAAAACAAACCGUGAAAUGCCCCCACCCCAGAGGCGAGGUGACUGGCUCCAGUUCAGGUGUGUGUGUGUGUGUGGGGGGGGUGUUGCUCAGCAAGGGUGAAGGGGAGGGACGAAACAGGAUCUUAUCCAUCAGACCUGUCGCCGAAUUGGUAACUGUUACCGCAGGUCCCUGUCCAGGUCAGAGGAUUCCCCAGAUCCACAUUUCCCAAUUCUAGCCGCCAUCCCUGCUUAGAUGGAGGGACGUCUUGGGGACAGUAUUCUAUUACCCUUCCUAAGCUGGGAACUUCUCCAGUGGAACCAAGAAAGGACUGAUUUCGGGGUCUAGGGGGUUAAGAACUCCCAGGCUCGGGUUGUUUUGUGCGUGUAACUGUGUGUAGGUAACCAGCAGAGCCCUCUCUUACAUUUUGCCUCGUGUACCCCUAACCCCCCAGCUCCCACACUCCGAAGUGGGAGCAAGUUGGGGGGAGUGUGAAAAAUGCAGUUCCAUUAUGGGCCAACCGUGCCGAGAUAGGGGCGGAACUUUUGAGGAGACGAGAUUUUUCCAGCCUCGCAUUUUUGACGCACAUGGUUAAGAGCGCUUGGCGCCAGCGCUAAGAAUUCCCUGAAGUCACCAGAGAGAAUAAGAGUGGUUCUGCGAACUCCAUCUGGCUUGCCAUCUCGCCCCUUUCUCUCCCUUUAGGUCUGUCUCCUGGCCGGUCUCUCGGCCUCUCUCUGAGGUGGUGGAGCAAGAGCGGCGGGGGUCAGCGUGUCGGCUCACGAUGCCCCCUCCCAGGUCCCUGGCCGCCCGACCCCGGAGGGUGCGAGAAACCCAGGCCUUUCCCCUCUGAUACCGUCCACCGAGGUCACCGCAGGGUUUCCACCAGUCUCCGGAGGCUGAAACCCGCCCUUCCCCCACUCUGCUGGCCGCGGGAGCCUGGGGCCGCACCGCUGCGCUUUCAGCAGCGGCCCCAAACCCGGGGUCUGGUUUUGCCUGCACUCGCCGGCCAACCUCUGCUCCGACGCACCGAAGAGAAGGAAAGUAAUUCUGCAAGCACGAGAUGACCCCCAACACACACCCACAUCCACCCAAUCGGUGUCCUAAGCGUCCAGAUGACCAGGAAGAGAGACAUUUCACUCGGUCGUCCGCAUGCUGGCCUCGCUUCGGUUUUGGACUGUGGGAGGGGAGCUUGCUGAUUUCACUUGUAAAUAUCUCAACUUGCCUUUGGCCUCAACGGUGGAGGUGGACUUAACCGCGAUUUCGGCCCCUUCUCUCACGCGCCUGCUUUUGCCCAUAGCUCCACCUUAACCCUGGGGUCACCCCAGUUGCCACUCCUGACCCCUCAUUGCCACUCCAGCGCGCCAGAGAGGAAGGCGGGAGAGGAAAGUUUGUGGGGUUCUGAAUCGAAAAUGUCGACAUCUUGCUAAUGGUCUGCAAACUUCCGCCAAUUAUGACUGACCUCCCAGACUCGGCCCCAGGAGGCUCGUAUUAUGCAGGGAGGCCGCAGUAACUGGGGAUCAAAAGCGGGAAGGUGCGAACUCCUCUUUGUCUCUGCGGGGCCGCCGCGCCCCCCUCCCGGUGGGUGAUAAACCCACUCUGGCGCCGGCCGUGCGCUGGGUGAUUAAUUUGCGAACAAACAAAAGCGGCCUGGUGGUCACUGCAUUCGGGUUAAACAUUGGCUAGCGCGUUCCGAAGACUUGUGCCAGGCCUGGCGGCUGGGACAACUCGCAGGCCAGCGCGCCACGGGCCCGGGCUUUUAGGCUCUAGCCGAGGGCAUGGUCAUUUCCCCCCCCCUCCAUGCAGACCCCUUCGAUCUUCU
ensembl:lncRNA